UUGAUCCUGGCUCAGAAUCAACGCUGGCGGCGUGCCUAACACAUGCAAGUCGAACGAGAAAGUGGAGCAAUCCAUGAGUAAAGUGGCGACCGGGUGAGUUACACGUGACUAACCUACCUUCAAGUGGGGGAUAACCUCGGGAAACCGGGUCUAAUACCGCAUAACAUCCUUAGAGUGGAAACUCCGGGGAUCAAAGGAGUAAUUCGCUGGAAGAGGGGGUCGCGGCUGAUUAGCUAGUUGGCGGGGUAAUGGCCCACCAAGGCAGAGAUCGGUAGCCGGCCUGAGAGGGCGCACGGCCAUACUGGAACUGAAACACGGUCCAGACUCCUACGGGAGGCAGCAGUGGGGAUUUUUGCGCAAUGGGGGAAACCCUGACGCAGCAACGCCGCGUGGAGGAUGUAGUCCCUUGGGACGUAAACUCCUUUCGACCGGGACGAUAAUGACGGUACUGGUGGAAGAAGCCCCGGCUAACUUCGUGCCAGCAGCCGCGGUAAUAAGGU
rnacentral:rRNA from 1 species